CAGUAGCCGCGUAAUACGUAGGUGGCAAGCGUUGUCCGGAAUUAUUGGCCGUAAAGGGCUCGCAGGCGGUUUCUUAAGUCUGAUGUGAAAGCCCCCGGCUCAACCGGGGAGGGUCAUUGGAAACUGGGAAACUUGAGUGCAGGAGAGAAAAGUGGAAUUCCUAGUGUAGCGGUGAAAUGCGUUGAGAUCGGAAAGAACACCAACGGCGAAAGCACUCUGCUGGGCCGACACUGACACUGAGAGACGAAAGCUAGGGGAGCAAAUGGGAUUAGAUACCCGGGUAGUCCCUGUCUCUUAUACA
rnacentral:rRNA from 1 species